rnacentral:tRNA from 2 species
GGGCCGUUAGCUCAAUUGGUAGAGCAAGUGACUCUUAAUCACUAGGUUUAGGGUUCGAGUCCCUGACGGCCCACCA